GAAGCUCUUCAGCGUAUUGAGUUAUACGCUGCUAGCAGUUUAUUAUGUGCUGGCGUUUCUGUUGUAUGUGGCCAUAGAGCCUUACGACACCCACUUAGCACUGCACAUGAUUUGUGUUACCUUGGCUCUAGCAUAUCCUAGUUGGGUUCUGAGCCGAUCAAUGACAAAGAAACCAAAAGUAAGAAUUGUGUACGUAACUCGUGCAUAGUUCUUCACAAAUGUCAGUAAAAGUUGCACCACUAGAGUGAAUUUUGCAAAUGGUGCAUAAGUAUUGCCAAAAGACCAGGCAUAAGAAAAUACCACUGCUCCAAGUUGCUGCCACUACUAACAAAUCCCACUUCAGAAUCAAGAUCAAACAUUGCAGAUGUAAAAUAAUGUCAAAGGGGAGAACCUCAGUUAUACAGAUGGACAUACACAUUUUGAAACUGGAAAUCAACUAACAGAGCUGUGCCAACAACCACAAUAUCGCUCCUCAUAUCUUCAUCCUAGGCAUAGAGAAAAACUGUGAAAGUAGAAGAUAAUCACAUCAUUUAAACCUCUCUUAAUUCAGUCAAGAGAUCCAGAGCAAUCAUGAAGGGCCUCUAACAUGUGACAAAAAUUAGAACCUUAGACUCAAGAAAUUUUAAUUUAUAGGUCAGCUUCAUCCAAAGAAUUAGCCAGCCAUUAGGCCAUUAAACAAAAACAUUGACUUGAGGAAAUAUCCAAGGAUUAAGAAUGUAAAUACCAAAGGUAUAACACUUAUGGAAAGAGGGUGGUGGAUGGAUUGAUGACUUCACUAUUUACUUGUGUCUGAGAGUGCAGUAUGCUGUCAGCACUUUCUCUUUUUAUUAGCAUGUUUUCUUUAAUCUGUUUUGCCUCUCUCAUUUUUCUAACUGAUAAAUAGGCAAUCACUUAUUAGUAGCACAUGAUGUAAGAUACUACCUGGUGGCCUCAGUGCAAUGUGUGUCAUCCAGAA